UACGUAGGGUGCGAGCGUUAAUCGGAAUUACUGGGCGUAAAGCGUGCGCAGGCGGUUGGUUAAGUCUGAUGUGAAAGCCCCGGGCUCAACUUGGGAAUGGCAUUGGAAACUGGCUGGCUAGAGUGUGGCAGAGGGGGGGUGGAAUUCCGCGUGUAGCAGUGAAAUGCGUAGAGAUGCGGAGGAACACCGAUGGCGAAGGCAGCCCCCUGGGCUGACACUGACGCUCAGGCACGAAAGCGUGGGGAGCAAACAGG
rnacentral:rRNA from 1 species